AAGGAUCAUUACCGAGUUCAUGCCCUCGCGGGUAGAUCUCCCACCCUUUGUAUACUAUACCUUUGUUGCUUUGGCGGGCCGCCUAGCUACUGGCUUCGGCUGGUAAGUGCCCGCCAGAGGACCCAAAACCCUGAAUAUUAGUGUCGUCUGAGUAAAAUUUUAAUAUUUAAAACUUUCAACAACGGAUCUCUUGGCUCUGGCAUCGAUGAAGAACGCAGCGAAAUGCGAUAAGUAAUGUGAAUUGCAGAAUUCAGUGAAUCAUCGAAUCUUUGAACGCACAUUGCGCCCCUUGGUAUUCCGAGGGGCAUGCCUAUUCGAGCGUCAUUAUCACCCCUCAAGCUUCGGCUUGGUGUUGAGGCCUGCUGUAAAGGCACCCUCUAAAAUCAGUGGCAGUGCUGUCAGGCUCUAAGCGUAGUAAUUUUCAUCGCUAUAGGGUCCUGGUGGAUACUCGUCAGAACCCCCCAUUUUUUAAUGAUUGACCUCGGAUUAGGUAGGGAUACCCGCUGAACUUAA
rnacentral:rRNA from 1 species